ensembl:lncRNA
CUUGGCCCCCAGUGAGUCAGUGUCCAGAAACAUUUUGAGGAAGUUGGUUUUGCCAGAAACAGGAAACCCUUCAGUUGCAGUUUAUUCAUCAAGACAAAAUGAGAAGUGCUGAAGAGACACACGGAACAAUCUCAUCAGAAGACCAGAAACACACCCAACUAACUCCUAAAUCGCAACAUGGAUUCUCAGCAGUUUUGGCAUCUUUUCUUCGUGUUUCCUUGGAUGUUUGUAUUUUGUCUCCCUUCUGUGUGUUCAGGAAUGAAUGCACCAAAAAUGCGCUUGGAGAACACUGUCUUUGUGGCCUUUGCAGGUGAAGAUCUCAGGAUUAACUGUGAGUUGGAGAAACCAGCAAACCAAUCUAAAGACAUCUUGAGGUGCUUCAGUCCUCACGGAGAAAUUUACCACUGUGACGUUGCUUCUACGGAUGGUCACCCACAUACAGACAAACUGCAACUGGAGCUGAAAAAGUUGACCUAUUCAGGAGAAUACAACUGCCAGUAUAAAACGGCGAAGGUGUACUUUUUUCUUCGAGUGAGGGGUGUGAAUUGUUGUGAAACCAAGAGGUCCACCAGCAAUGAUAGCAAUCAUGGGGAGCUUCCAGUUUACACCACAAAGGAUGUGAAUCGGCCAUAUGAAGACUGACUCAAGAUGCUAACGAUGGCGAAACUUUCUGGCUGAAGGCUACAAGGAGCCCAAAAUGUUCAACUACACCAAACUCAUCACGGUGGCCACCAUCACUGGUGUGCUGUUGAUCUUGAGUGUGAUCGGCUCAGUGUAUGUCUUCAGAGGAUAUUGGAAAGAGAAGAUGACUGAAAGUGGCGACAGGCAGAAAACUAGCAGAAAACCAAAGGACAACAGAGAAGAGAGGAAAAAGGAAGAUAUGGAUGAAACUCAUGCAGAUGUAAUGGCAGCUGAGUCUACGUCCUUCUAUGCUAGUCUUGAGACUCGACCCAGGUCCAUCUAUGAUGUUCUGGACCACUCAGCUGCCAGCAGAGAGCCGGACCGGAGGAAACCUAAACCAAAGAAAAAGAAACCCCCAAAAACGGUGGCGCAAACUACAGAGCAGCAGGAUGAAGGUGUGUUUGAGUGUGUUUAUGAAAACUUCUGAAUCGUUAAUAAACUUAUUCCAGUAGACUAUGAUAUUCAUAUCAGCAGCUGUAAUAUGUAUCAUUGCUUUCCUAUUUUGAUGUCAUACGUAACAGUAACAGAAUAACUUAGAUUCUGUACCUCAGUGUAAGUAGCAAAACCACAAUGUGAAAAUACUCAAUAAAGGUACAAAUAAAGGUUUUGCUUUUAAAACAUGUAAAUAAAAAUGUACAAGAGUAUUAAAAAAUGUGCUCAGAGUAUUAAAAUAACUAACCAAGCAGACUACUGGAUUGUUCUGACUGAUUUCCAAACAUUUUUGUAGCAUUUUAAUGUUGUAGCUGAUUGAAGUGGAAUUGUUU